GAUGAACGCUGGCGGCGUGCUUAACACAUGCAAGUCGAACGGACAAGCCAAGCUUUCUUGGUGGUUCAGUGGCGAACGGGUGAGUAACACGCGAGCAACCUGCCUAGCUCUCUGGGAUAAGCGCUGGAAACGGCGUCUAAUACUGGAUAUGAGCCUCUUCCGCCUGGUGGGGGCUGGAGAGAUUUUUUGGUCUGGGAUGGGUUCGCGGCCUAUCAGCUUGUUGGUGAGGUAUUGGCUCACCAAGGCGUCGACGGGUAGCCGGCCUGAGAGGGUGACCGGCCACACUGCGACUGAGACACGGCCCAGACUCCUACGGGAGGCAGCGGUGGAGAAUAUUGCACAAUAGGCGAGAGCCUGAUGCAGCAACGCCGCGUGAGGGAUGACGGCCUUCGGGUUGUGAACCUCUUUUAGCAGAGAAGAAGCGAUAGUGACGGUACCUGCAGAAAAAGCGCCGGCUAACUACGUG
rnacentral:rRNA from 1 species